GUUGGGAGGAGGCUGAAGAGUGGGCUGCGUCUCAAAUCGCGACAUUUCCGGACCAACCUCCGGAGGAACACUAGGUCCCCCACAGUGCCCUGGGCCACCACCACUGUCAGCCAUGCUCUGCUGGGCAACUUUGAGGAGUCCAUCCUGAAGGGGCGCUUUGCACCAUCGGGGAGGAUCGAGGGUUUCACAGCAGAGAUCGGUGCCAGUGGCUCCUACUGUCCCCAGCAUGUCACCCUGCCUGUCGACGUCACCUACUUCGACAUCUCUGAACACAGCGUGCCCUCGCCUUUCCUGGGAGUGAUUGACUUGG